rnacentral:rRNA from 1 species
GUGGGGAAUAUUGGGCAAUGGGCGAAAGCCUGACCCAGCAACGCCGCGUGAAGGAAGAAGGCUUUCGGGUUGUAAACUUCUUUUGUCAGGGACGAAAAAAAUGACGGUACCUGACGAAUAAGCCACGGCUAACUACGUGCCAGCAGCCGCGGUAAUACGUAGGUGGCAAGCGUUAUCCGGAUUUACUGGGUGUAAAGGGCGUGUAGGCGGGAAAGCAAGUCAGAUGUGAAAACUAUGGGCUCAACCCAUAGCCUGCAUUUGAAACUGUUUUUCUUGAGUACUGGAGAGGCAGAUGGAAUUCCUAGUGUAGCGGUGAAAUGCGUAGAUAUUAGGAGGAACACCAGUGGCGAAGGCGAUCUGCUGGACAGCAACUGACGCUGAGGCGCGAAAGCGUGGGGAGCAAACAGGAUUAGAUACCCCAGUAGUCC